GAUGAAGAACGUAGCGAAAUGCGAUAAGUAGUGUGAAUUGCAGAAUUCAGUGAAUCAUCGAAUCUUUGAACGCACAUUGCGCCCCUUGGUAUUCCAUGGGGCAUGCCUGUUCGAGCGUCAUUUGUACCCUCAAGCUAUGCUUGGUGUUGGGUGUUUGUCCUCUCCUUUGCGAUUGGACUCGCCUUAAAGACAUUGGCAGCCAGUGUAUUGGUCUUGAAGCGCAGCACAUUUUGCGAUUCUUGCUGAUAAUCACUAGCGUCCAGUAAGCCUAUUUUAACACUUUUGACAUCGGAUCAGGUAGGGAUACCCGCUGAACUUAAGCAUAUCAAUAAGCGGAGGA
rnacentral:misc_RNA from 1 species